UUUUAAAUUUAGAGUUUGAUCCUGGCUCAGGACGAACGCUGGCGGCGUGCUUAACACAUGCAAGUCGAGCGAUGAAGCUUCCUUCGGGAAGUGGAUUAGCGGCGGACGGGUGAGUAACACGUGGGUAACCUGCCUCAAAGUGGGGGAUAGCCUUCCGAAAGGAAGAUUAAUACCGCAUAAUAUAAGAGAAUCGCAUGAUUUUUUUAUCAAAGAUUUAUUGCUUUGAGAUGGACCCGCGGCGCAUUAGCUAGUUGGUAAGGUAACGGCUUACCAAGGCAACGAUGCGUAGCCGACCUGAGAGGGUGAUCGGCCACAUUGGAACUGAGACACGGUCCAGACUCCUACGGGAGGCAGCAGUGGGGAAUAUUGCGCAAUGGGGGAAACCCUGACGCAGCAACGCCGCGUGGGUGAUGAAGGUCUUCGGAUUGUAAAGCCCUGUUUUCUAGGACGAUAAUGACGGUACUAGAGGAGGAAGCCACGGCUAACUACGUGCCAGCAGCCGCGGUAAUACGUAGGUGGCGAGCGUUGUCCGGAUUUACUGGGCGUAAAGGGUGCGUAGGCGGAUGUUUAAGUGGGAUGUGAAAUCCCCGGGCUUAACCUGGGGGCUGCAUUCCAAACUGGAUAUCUAGAGUGCAGGAGAGGAAAGCGGAAUUCCUAGUGUAGCGGUGAAAUGCGUAGAGAUUAGGAAGAACACCAGUGGCGAAGGCGGCUUUCUGGACUGUAACUGACGCUGAGGCACGAAAGCGUGGGUAGCAAACAGGAUUAGAUACCCUGGUAGUCCACGCCGUAAACGAUGGAUACUAGGUGUAGGGGGUAUCAACUCCCCCUGUGCCGCAGUUAACACAAUAAGUAUCCCGCCUGGGGAGUACGGUCGCAAGAUUAAAACUCAAAGGAAUUGACGGGGGCCCGCACAAGCAGCGGAGCAUGUGGUUUAAUUCGAAGCAACGCGAAGAACCUUACCUGGACUUGACAUCCCUUGCAUAGCCUAGAGAUAGGUGAAGCCCUUCGGGGCAAGGAGACAGGUGGUGCAUGGUUGUCGUCAGCUCGUGUCGUGAGAUGUUAGGUUAAGUCCUGCAACGAGCGCAACCCUUGUUAUUAGUUGCUACCAUUAAGUUGAGCACUCUAAUGAGACUGCCUGGGUAACCAGGAGGAAGGUGGGGAUGACGUCAAAUCAUCAUGCCCCUUAUGUCCAGGGCUACACACGUGCUACAAUGGUAGGUACAAUAAGACGCAAGACCGUGAGGUGGAGCAAAACUUAUAAAACCUAUCUCAGUUCGGAUUGUAGGCUGCAACUCGCCUACAUGAAGCUGGAGUUGCUAGUAAUCGCGAAUCAGAAUGUCGCGGUGAAUACGUUCCCGGGCCUUGUACACACCGCCCGUCACACCAUGAGAGCUGGUAACACCCGAAGUCCGUGAGGUAACCGUAAGGAGCCAGCGGCCGAAGGUGGGAUUAGUGAUUGGGGUGAAGUCGUAACAAGGUAGCCGUAGGAGAACCUGCGGCUGGAUCACCUCCUUUCUA
rnacentral:rRNA from 1 species